rnacentral:rRNA from 1 species
CUACGGGGGGCUCCAGCGGGGAAUAUUGGACAAUGGGGGAAACCCUGAUCCAGCAAUGCCGCGUGUGUGAAGAAGGCCUGCGGGUUGUAAAGCACUUUCGGUUGGGAGGACUGCUUCUAGCACUAAUAUUGUUGGAAGUUGACGUUACCUUCAGAAGAAGCACCGGCUAACUCCGUGCCAGCAGCCGCGGUAAUACGGAGGGUGCAAGCGUGAAUCGGAAUUACUGGGCGUAAAGCGCGCGUAGGCGGCUAGAUCAGUCGGGUGUGAAAGCCCCGGGCUUAACCUGGGAACUGCAUCCGAUACUGUCUAGCUUGAGUACAGGAGAGGAGAGUGGAAUUCCACAUGUAGCGGUGAAAUGCGUAGAUAUGUGGAGGAACACCAAUGGCGAAGGCAGCUCUCUGGCCUGAUACUGACGCUGAGGUGCGAAAGCGUGGGGAGCAAACAGGAUUAGAUACCCCCGUAGUC